rnacentral:rRNA from 1 species
AUUGAACGCUGGCGGAAUGCUUUACACAUGCAAGUCGAACGGCAGCACGGAGAGCUUGCUCUCUGGUGGCGAGUGGCGAACGGGUGAGUAACAUAUCGGAACGUAUCCAAUAAUGGGGGA